GGCCUACCAUGGUGGUAACGGGUAACGGGGUGUUAGGGCACGACACCGGAGAGGGAGCCUGAGAAACGGCUACCACAUCCAAGGAUGGCAGCAGGCGCGCAAAUUACCCAAUCCCGACACGGGGAGGUAGUGACAAUAAAUAACAAUACGGGGUUCUUUCGGAUCUCGUAAUUGGAAUGAGUACAAUUUAAAUCUCUUAACGAGGAACAAUUGGAGGGCAAGUCUAGUGCCAGCAGCCGCGGUAAUUCCAGCUCCAAUAGCGUAUAUUAAAGUUGUUGCAGUUAAAAAGCUCGUAGUUGAAUUUCGGGGUCAGCAGGUCGGUCGUGCCACUGGUAUGAACUGGCCUCGCUGAUCCCUCCCUCUUGACGAACUGUGAUGCCAUUAAUUUGGUGUCGCAGGGAAUCAGGACUGUUACUUUGAAAAAAUUAGAGUGUUUAAAGCAGGCUCACGCUUGAAUACAUUAGCAUGGAAUAAUGAAAUAGGACGUUUGAUCCUAUUUUGUUGGUUUCUAGGAUUGACGUAAUGAUUAAUAGGGAUAGUUGGGGGCAUUAGUAUUCAAUUGUCAGAGGUGAAACUCUUGGAUUUAUUGAAGACUAACUACUGCGAAAGCAUUUGCCAAGGAUGUUUUCAUUAAUCAAGAACGAAAGUUAGGGGAUCGAAGACGAUCAGAUACCGUCGUAGUCUUAACCAUAAACUAUGCCGACUAGGGAUCGGGAUGAUGUUAAUUUUUUAAUGACUCAUUCGGCGCCUUACG
rnacentral:rRNA from 1 species